rnacentral:pre_miRNA from 1 species
GGGGAGAGGCCAGAUCCUGGGCUGUGUCCCCAGCGCCCUGUCCUCCUGGGCCUGCGCUGUUGGAUUCACGCUCCGGCCGGCCGGGCAGCCCCCU